UUGAGUCUAACCUCCAAAUAUCUCAUCCCUACAUAAACCAUUUAAUAUUUAAAGAUGAUGGUUAUCACAAUUUGGCAUUCGUCAACGAAUUGUCCGAAAAUUAUCGUGCGUACUCAGCCUAUUAAUCACCAAAUUUUCAUCAGUAAAAAAUCAUCGAAAAAUACGGGAUGACGGUUGCGCCUGCAAAUGAGCUGGUUUGCCCAUGUCUUGAGGUGAUGGCGUGUGAACCGGAGGUGUAGUCGUAGGGGGUGGUCCCUGAGGUUGCUGAGACUGUACUCCGGGUGUUUGCGACUGUGGAGGAGCCUGCUGCGCCCCUGUUUGACCUCCUUGGGGUAUACCCGUUGCAGAUUGUCC